ensembl:processed_transcript Gm20507 predicted gene 20507
GAAGUAUGAGUGUGGCCUGGGAAACCAGCUCCAACCAUGCAUGGAAAACAGAUGGGAAUUAAGUCAUUCUGGCUACGGGCUCAGUUUGGAGGUGCAGGGUAUACAUGCCAUGGUUCCGUCCAGUUCUACCUCAUGUCUUAUGUGGAAAACUGGCACUUAAGUAAAACCAAACUUGAGAUUCUGAGCUGGAAAGGUCCAGAAGAAUUAAGACUACAGUAAAGGAGGGCCUGUAGGCCAAGCUCCUUUACUUUGUGUGCAGUACUACAGAGAUUCUGAUAUAGAUACCCUUCCUACAUCUUGGUCCCUGGGAAGCAGUGGAUAGGCCCUUCCUGUUGCCCAGGAUAUAGUCCAGUACUGUGCCUGCCCCCAGGUGUGAGAAUUGCCUCCUGCGCUUCCGCACUCACCGUUCACUCUUCAAGCAUCUGCAUGUUUGUAUAGACCAUGGUCAGAACCCAGCCCCGCCACCACCCCCUGCCCUGGACAAAGAGCCACCUGUACCCGAGCGUCCCCCAGAGUCCGACCCUUCGUCUUCCCUGGGCCUGCCAUUCCCACUACUUGAGCCUUUUACCUCUGCCCCCACUGGGCCCUUCCUUCCAUACUUGAACCCUGCACCCUUUGGCCUGAGUCCCCCUCGACUGCGCCCAUUCCUGGCUGCCACUCCAGGGCCACCAGCAUCCAGCACUGCCAUCUGGAAGAAGAGUCAAGGGGAGCAAUCAGGACUUCCGAAACCUCCAAGCUAAGUUCCAAACCUCUCAGCCAGAACUUGGAGAACUGUUCAGAAAAACCCCAAAGCCUGAGUUAAACAAAGUCCUGAAGAAAUUUCCACAGACUGAGUUAAGUGAGCAGCCCAAGAAGUCCUCACAGUCUGAGCUCAGUGCAGUGUCUUUGAAACCACUGCAGCUGCAGUUUGCAGACCUCCCCAGGAAGCCCCCACAGCCUGGAGUUCUUAAAAAGUCACCACAGCCUGAGUUCCCUCAUCUAGCCAACAAGCCUGUACAGGCUGAAUUCCCAAAGAAGCCUCUACAUCCAGAGUUCACAGGUCUCAAAAAGCCUUCCCAGGCUGAGUUCACAGAUCUCAAGAAGCCCCCACAGCCCCAGUUUGCCAGCCUCCCCAAGAAGCCCCCAAAACCUGAGUUUGGAGAGCUCUCCAAGAGACCUCCACAGCUUGAGACACCCCAGGAGCCUAGUGCUCCUCCUGCCCAGAAGCUCCUGAAGCCCGAGCCUAACAAUCCUGCCAGGCCUCUAGGAGAGCUCAAACCCAAGAUGUUUUGGCACCUUGAGGCCAAUGAGGCACCUAAGAGGCCCUUGCCAUCUGAAUCCAGUACUUUUCCCAAGAAGCCACUGCAGCCUGAGGCUGUUGUUGGUUUCUCUAGGAAGUCCCAGCCACAGUCAGAGUCCAUCGAAGUUUCUCAGACAUCCCCCUCUAAGUGUGGGUCCAGGGAGCUUGACUCUCACUCCCCACAGCCUGACAUCAGUACCUUUCCUAAGAACAAUGAGAACUUUAGGAAACCUUCAUAUCCUCAAGCCACUGGUUGCCCCAAGUCCCCAAAGCAGCCCAUGUUCUAUGAGUUCCCCCAGACACCCCCUCGGAAGCCUGAGUCAUGUAACCCCCAGUCUCACUCCCCGCUGCCAGACUUCAAUGCAUUCCCUAAGAAGCAUCCACAGCUCCAGCCAAGUGACCUUACCAGGGCAUCCUCGGAGCCUGAAGUCUGCAAGGUUCCCAAAAAGACUCAGAAGCCAGACCCCAAUGUGCUUUCUCAGAAGCCCUCACAGCCAGAAUUGGGUCACCUCCCUAGAACAUCCUCGGACCCCGAGUUCAACUCGCUCCCGAGGAAGUUUCUGCAGCCUCAACACGGCAAGUUCUUCCAGCCUGAGUUCCCCAAGGGUCUGCCUAGAAAGCCCAAGCUUCCUGGUUCAGUGUCUGAAUGCUCCCUGCCCUCUGCUAGUGCGGGCUCCAGCCCCCAGUGCCCUCUCAGCCCUGGGCUUAUAGUCCCUGGGAUACCCCGCUGGAGAUCAGAAGACUUCCAAGUCCAGCGCCCACCCCGACGGCGGCCCCUGCCCUCAGCCAGCAGCCUGGGACACCCCCCAGCCAAGCCCGCACUACCACCUGGCCCCAUCAAUAUCCAAAGCUUCAGGAGAGCCGCAGCAACAGCCGCAGCGGUACUGAAGACAGGCUCUUCUACUGGGACCCACUUCCAAGCUCAACAACCUCAACAUAUUGCACAGAACCCGGAUGAGAUCUACGAACUGUAUGAUGCUGUGGAGGCCACAGAUGACUCUAGUAUCAGCCCCAGAGGCAGAGAUGAAAUGCCAUCUACCCAGCAAGCCACCAGAUGGCCUCAACAGGAGCCAGAGCUCAGGAAGAAGGCCACUCAGCCACAGCAGCUGCCAGCUACAGACCCCAAGCUGCUGAAACAGAUCAGGAAGGCAGAAAAGGCUGAGAGAGAGUUUAGAAAGAAGUUUAAGUUUGAAGGUGAGAUUGUGAUUCACACGAAGAUGAUGAUUGACCCCAAUGCCAAGACCCGGCGUGGGGGUGGCAAGCACCUGGGCAUCCGGCGUGGAGAGAUCCUAGAGGUGAUCGAGUUCACUAGCAAGGAUGAGAUGCUCUGCCGGGACCCCAAGGGCAAGUAUGGCUAUGUGCCCAGAACUGCACUGUUGCCCUUGGAAACAGAGGUAUAUGAUGACGUCAGCUUUGGGGACCCUCUGGACAUGCAACCAUUUCCUCGGUGACAGUAUGGAACAGCAGAUAAGUGGGUUCCAGGACCAACAGUCAGUCCAGCUACUGCUCACUCAGGAGCCCGGGAUCCCAGCCUGGCAAACAGACACCCAAACAGACAAAAGGCAUGUGCUUAUAUAAAACUCCUCUUUAAAAU